rnacentral:rRNA from 1 species
CCGCGUCGGAUAGGAGUGGCAGGUAUUGGCCUACCAAGCCUACGAUCAUAGCUGGUCCAGAGGUGAUCAGCAACACUGGGACUGAGACACGGCCCAACUCCUACGGGAGGCAGCAGUGGGGAAUCUUAGACAAUGGGGGCAACCCUGAUCUAGCCAUGCCGCGUGAGUGAUGAAAGGCCCUAGGGUCGUAAAAGCUCUUUUCGCCUGUGAAGAUAAUGACGGUAGCAGGUAAAGAAACCCCGGCUAACUCCGUGCCAGCAGCCGCGGUAAUACGGAGGGGGUUAGCGUUGUUCGGAAUUACUGGGCGUAAAGCGCACGUAGGCGGACUAUUAAGUCGAGGGUGAAAUCCCGGGGCUCAACCCCGGAACUGCCUUCGAUACUGGUAGUCUUGAGUUCGAGAGAGGUGAGUGGAAUUCCGAGUGUAGAGGUGAAAUUCGUAGAUAUUCGGAGGAACACCAGUGGCGAAGCGGCUCACUGGCUCGAUACUGACGCUGAGGUGCGAAAGUGUGGGGAGCAAACAGGAUUAGAUACCCUGGUAGUCCACACCGUAAACGAUGAAUGCCAGUCGUCGGGUAGCAUGCU